GGACUGCAGGCUGAAACUCGCCUGCACGAAGUUGGAAUUGCUAGUAAUCGCGGAUCAGCAUGCCGCGGUGAAUACGUUCCCGGGUCUUGUACACACCGCCCGUCACACCAUGGGAGCUGGUAACACCCGAAGUCAGUAGUCUAACCGCAAGGAGGACGCUGCCGAAGGUGGGAUUAGCGACUGGGGUGAAGUCGUAACAAGGUACC
rnacentral:rRNA from 1 species